CACGUAGGGGGCGAGCGUUGUCCGGAAUUACUGGGCGUAAAGGGCGCGCAGGCUGUUAUGCGAGUCUGCUGUGAAAUGUACCGGCUCAACCGGUGCCUUGCGGCGGAUACUGCAUAGCUGGAGUACUGGAGAGGGAAGUGGAAUUCCCGGUGUAGCGGUGAAAUGCGUAGAGAUCGGGAGGAACACCAGUGGCGAAGGCGGGUAACUGGACUGCAACUGACGCUGAGGCGCGAAAGUGUGGGGAGCAAACAGGAUUAGAUA
rnacentral:rRNA from 1 species